CUCUCUCUCUCUCUCUCUCUCUCUAAAAUGACCACUGAUUUGCUGAGGCUUUCGAUCUUGCCUCGCCAGAAAUUUAGCUACGCCUACACCACAAGGCACCGUCUUGACUACACCUUUGACUUCAAUGCUGCUCACCUUCGGAAACGUUGCCGUUUCAUCCCCCGGCCAUGCGCCAUUCCUCGCCUCACUCUCUCCAACGUCAAACCUCAACUACAAGACACGCCGUUUCAAGUCCCUGAACGGCCCAAAGACUUGCAGGUUCUCCUUGACGUCUCUGGAAUGAUGUGCGGUGGGUGUGUCUCCCGUGUCAAGUCCUUGCUUUCCGCUGAUGAUCGAAUUGAAUCUGUCGUGGUCAACAUGUUGACCGAGACCGCUGCGUUAAAGUUGAAACCGGAGGCUUU
rnacentral:misc_RNA from 1 species